CAUGAUCUAGAGCUGAAGCUUGUCCGUAAUAGUUCACUGGUCGAGUCGGCCUGCGCGGAAGAUGUAACGGGGCUAAACCAUGCACCGAAGCUGCGGCAGCGACGCUUAUGCGUUGUUGGGUAGGGGAGCGUUCUGUAAGCCUGUGAAGGUGUACUGUGAGGUAUGCUGGAGGUAUCAGAAGUGCGAAUGCUGACAUAAGUAACGAUAAAGCGGGUGAAAAGCCCGCUCGCCGGAAGACCAAGGGUUCCUGUCCAACGUUAAUCGGGGCAGGGUGAGUCGACCCCUAAGGCGAGGCCGAAAGGCGUAGUCGAUGGGAAACAGGUUAAUAUUCCUGUACUUGGUGUUACUGCGAAGGGGGGACGGAGAAGGCUAUGUUGGCCGGGCGACGGUUGUCCCGGUUUAAGCGUGUAGGCUGGUUUUCCAGGCAAAUCCGGAAAAUCAAGGCUGAGGCGUGAUGACGAGGCACUACGGUGCUGAAGCAACAAAUGCCCUGCUUCCAGGAAAAGCCUCUAAGCAUCAGGUAACAUCAAAUCGUACCCCAAACCGACACAGGUGGUCAGGUAGAGAAUACCAAGGCGCUUGAGAGAACUCGGGUGAAGGAACUAGGCAAAAUGGUGCCGUAACUUCGGGAGAAGGCACGCUGAUAUGUAGGUGAAGUCCCUCGCGGAUGGAGCUGAAAUCAGUCGAAGAUACCAGCUGGCUGCAACUGUUUAUUAAAAACACAGCACUGUGCAAACACGAAAGUGGACGUAUACGGUGUGACGCCUGCCCGGUGCCGGAAGGUUAAUUGAUGGGGUCAGCGCAAGCGAAGCUCUUGAUCGAAGCCCCGGUAAACGGCGGCCGUAACUAUUACGGUCCUAAGGUAGCGAAAUUCCUUGUCGGGUAAGUUCCGACCUGCACGAAUGGCGUAAUGAUGGCCAGGCUGUCUCCACCCGAGACUCAGUGAAAUUGAACUCGCUGUGAAGAUGCAGUGUACCCGCGGCAAGACGGAAAGACCCCGUGAACCUUUACUAUAGCUUGACACUGAACAUUGAGCCUUGAUGUGUAGGAUAGGUGGGAGGCUUUGAAGUGUGGACGCCAGUCUGCAUGGAGCCGACCUUGAAAUACCACCCUUUAAUGUUUGAUGUUCUAACGUUGACCCGUAAUCCGGGUUGCGGACAGUGUCUGGUGGGUAGUUUGACUGGGGCGGUCUCCUCCUAAAGAGUAACGGAGGAGCACGAAGGUUGGCUAAUCCUGGUCGGACAUCAGGAGGUUAGUGCAAUGGCAUAAGCCAGCUUGACUGCGAGCGUGACGGCGCGAGCAGGUGCGAAAGCAGGUCAUAGUGAUCCGGUGGUUCUGAAUGGAAGGGCCAUCGCUCAACGGAUAAAAGGUACUCCGGGGAUAACAGGCUGAUACCGCCCAAGAGUUCAUAUCGACGGCGGUGUUUGGCACCUCGAUGUCGGCUCAUCACAUCCUGGGGCUGAAGUAGGUCCCAAGGGUAUGGCUGUUCGCCAUUUAAAGUGGUACGCGAGCUGGGUUUAGAACGUCGUGAGACAGUUCGGUCCCUAUCUGCCGUGGGCGCUGGAGAACUGAGGGGGGCUGCUCCUAGUACGAGAGGACCGGAGUGGACGCAUCACUGGUGUUCGGGUUGUCAUGCCAAUGGCACUGCCCGGUAGCUAAAUGCGGAAGAGAUAAGUGCUGAAAGCAUCUAAGCACGAAACUUGCCCCGAGAUGAGUUCUCCCUGACUCCUUGAGAGUCCUGAAGGAACGUUGAAGACGACGACGUUGAUAGGCCGGGUGUGUAAGCGCAGCGAUGCGUUGAGCUAACCGGUACUAAUGAACCGUGAGGCUUAACCUU
rnacentral:rRNA from 1 species